rnacentral:rRNA from 1 species
GACGAACGCGGCGGCGUGCUUAACACAUGCAAGUCGAACGGUGAAGCGCUUGCCUUUUUGGUGGGUGUGGAUGAGUGGCGAACGGGUGAGUAACACGUGAGUAACCUGCCCUCUUCUUCUGGAUAACCUCAUGAAAGUGGGGCUAAUACGGGGUAUUCCGGGUCUGUCGCAUGGCGGGUUUGGGAAAGAUUGCGCCUUUGGGUGUUUUCGGUGGGGGAUGGGCUCGCGGCCUAUCAGCUUGUUGGUGGGGUGAUGGCCUACCAAGGCGGUGACGGGUAGCCGGCCUGAGAGGGUGGACGGCCACACUGGGACUGAGACACGGCCCAGACUCCUGCGGGAGGCAGCAGUGGGGAAUAUUGCACAAUGGGCGCAAGCCUGAUGCAGCGACGCCGCGUGAGGGAUGGAGGCCUUCGGGUUGUGAACCUCUUUCGCCAGUGAAAGCAGGCCUG